rnacentral:rRNA from 1 species
AGCGAACGCUGGCGGUAGGCCUAACACAUGCAAGUCGAACGGCAGCACAGUAAGAGCUUGCUCUUACGGGUGGCGAGUGGCGGACGGGUGAGGAAUACAUCGGACUCUACUUUUUCGUGGGGGAUAACGUAGGGAAACUUACGCUAAUAUCGCAUACGACCUACGGGUGAAAGCAGGGGAUCUUCGCACCUUGCGCGAUUGAAUGAGCCGAUGUCGGAUUAGCUAGUUGGCGGGGUAAAGGCCCACCAAGGCGACGAUCCGUAGCUGGUCUGAGAGGAUGGUCAGCCGCACUGGAAGUGAGACACGGUCCAGACUCCUACGGGAGGCAGCAGUGGGGAAUAGUGGACAAUGGGCGCAAGCCUGAUCCAGUCAUACCGCGUGGGUGAAGAAGGCCUUCGGGGUGUAAAGCCCUUUUGUUGGGAAAGAAAAGCAGCAGGUUAAUACCCCGCUGUUCUGACGGUACCCAAAGAAUAAGCACCGGCUAACUUCGUG